rnacentral:rRNA from 1 species
AGUGAACGCUGGCGGUAUGCCUAAUACAUGCAAGUCGAGCGACAGCACGGGAAGAUUUCUUUUUUGCUGUUAGCGGGGGACGGGUGGGUAACGAAUAGAUCACAUUCCUCUUUUUCUUGGAUAACUUCGUGGAAAAGGUGAUACUAAUAGCUCAUAUUUUGUACCGCUUGAUUCAAAAGUGCUUGGCACUUUUCGCGACACAUUUAGCUGAUUUCGUGCUGCAUUAGCUAGUUGGUAAGGUAACGGCUUACCAAGGCAACGAUGCAUAGCUGACCUGAGAGGAUGAUCAGCCACACUGGAACUGAGACACGGUCCAGACUCCUACGGGAGGCAGCAGUAGGGAAUAUUCGGCAAUGGGCGAAAGCCUGAUGGAGCAACGCCGCGUGAGUGAUGAAGGUCUUCGGGUUGUAAAGCUCUUUUAUUAGGGAAGAAAAGAUGUGGAUGAAACUGUGGAUGUCUUGACGGUACCUAAACAAAAAGCAACGGCUAACUACGUG